rnacentral:misc_RNA from 1 species
ACCCGGUGUUCUUUAAUUUUUGGAGACCAAGUCCUUCAAUUCUUAGUGAUUUAUCACUUAGAGAUUGAUGAGAUCGGAGCUCUGCGAAGUAGGUAUUGUUCAUCAUCGAAUCACUACGUUCUUCGUGAUUCUCAACAAUUUCGGCUUAUUUCCGAAGGACCUUCACCAAGUAGGUACGAUGAUUUCAUCUGUUCAUGCUUCACAGUGAAACAUCGCAACUCUUAGAGCUGUAGCUCUUUUGAAGGCUGUACUGUGACGAGACGCAUGUCGAGAAAACACCUUAGAAGUUGUUGAGAUCGGAGCAACGCGUAGUGUUGCUUCUGUCCCCGCCGUUUAUCAAUUUUUAAGCCUGGAACAAAAAUCCAAAGUGAUUUUUGUUCCAGGCUCUUACUUU